rnacentral:tRNA from 1 species
AUAUAUUUAGUUUAUUACUAAAACAAUAGUUUGUGAUACUAUAAAUCUUAUAAUUAUAUA